rnacentral:rRNA from 1 species
CCUACGGGAGGCAGCAGAGGGGAAUCUUGGACAAUGGGCGCAAGCCUGAUCCAGCCAUGCCGCGUGAGUGACGAAGGCCCUAGGGUUGUAAAACUCUUUCGUGGGGGACGAUAAUGACGGUACCCCAAGAAGAAGCUCCGGCUAACUUCGUGCCAGCAGCCGCGGUAAU